UACGUAGGGGGCAAGCGUUGUCCGGAUUUACUGGGCGUAAAGAGCGCGCAGGCGGUCGUACAAGUCGCGUGUGAAAGCCCCCGGCUCAACUGGGGAGGGUCACGCGAUACUGUUCGACUCGAAGGCAGGAGAGGGAAGCAGAAUUCCCGGUGUAGUGGUGAAAUGCGUAGAUAUCAUUUGGAACGCCAAUGGUGAAAACAGCUCGCUGGGGGUUUGCUGACGCUGAGACACGAAAGCCAGGGGAGCAAACGGG
rnacentral:rRNA from 1 species